rnacentral:rRNA from 1 species
GAUGAACGCUGGCGGCGUGCCUAACACAUGCAAGUCGAGCGAACGGACGAUAAGCUUGCUUCUCUGAUGUUAGCGGCGGACGGGUGAGUAACACGUGUAUAACCUACCUAUCAGACUGGGAUCACUUCGGGAAACCGGAGCUUACACCGGAUGAUAUUUUGCACCGCAUGGUUCAAAAGUGAAAUACGGUCUUGCUGUCACUUAUAGCUGGAUCUGCGCUGCAUUAGCUAGUUGUUAAGGUAAUGGCUUACCAAGGCAACGAUGCAUAGCCGAACGGAGAGGGUGAUCGCCGACACGAGAACUGAGACACGGUCAAGAGUCCUAAGGGAGGCAGCAGUAGGGAAUCGUACGCAAUGGGCGGAAGCCUUGCGGAGCAACGCCGAGUGUGUGAUGAAGGUCUUCGGAUCGUAAAACUCUGUUAUUAGGGAAGAACAUAUGUGGAAGUAACUGUGCAGAGCUUGACGGUACCUAAUAAGAAAGCCACGGCUAACUACGUG